rnacentral:tRNA from 1 species
GCCGCUGUAGCUCAGCCCGGCAGAGCGGCUGACUCGUAAUCAGCAGGUCGGGGGUUCAAAUCCCCCCAGCGGCU